rnacentral:lncRNA from 1 species
GGAGAUCAAAAGGGUUUAUCUCCUUGUUCUUUUUCUUUGCAAACUAGGUCCAGAGAAGUGUAUCUCGGUUUUCUCUAUGCUCUUCGACCAAAACUUGGUAGUCUAGCGUCUGCUAAUGCUUUUGUAACCGAAGCAAGCCAACUAAAACUGUCCCACCGCCCAGAGCACACCCUUGCACUCCCUGCAUCCAGAUCGUGGUGACCACGCCCAUUCCUUUUCGGUCUCAUCGUGGCCAGCCGUUCUCAAGGUGACGCCUGCCCGACUGGUUUAUGUUUUGUGGUCUCUAUGCCAUGGUGAUGCUCACCGAGCUAUUCCUUCGAACGCUACCGUAACAGGUUAACCGGAACAUCGCCACGCCGCCAGUAAACACCGCCGAGGGAGUGUCUUCGCGUCGACCGACUAAAUUGUUGUCUCUCCGAGCCAACCAAUGUAAGAAUUGGGUGUUAGGUGUCUUACUGAUGCCCGUAGUGGCUUUUGAUUAAGUGCUACCGUGGUGGGAGCCUCGGCCAGCCUCACCGGAGCUCGGUGUGCCGCCGCCACCGUGGCCAGAGGCGGUUUAGCUUGUUUGGGCCCGAUUAACUUAAGGCAUAAGAUGUGUUAGCAUCGGGGGUCGCGUAGGUGUGUUCGGUUUCACCAGAGAUGACCGCCGCCGGCGAGUCUGUGCGAGGGAUGGCCGGCGUCCGCGGUCCGCCGGAGUUGGUGUCGGGGUUAACGAAGUGCGAAAGGACAGAAACUCGGGAGCCUCGUUGUGAUGUCAGUGGAACAGAGAAAUAGGGCCCAGGGUCUUUGUUAUUUAGCUGGAUCAGCGAGGGGGUUUUUGCGCAGCGCGGGCGCAGGGCCGGUUUUCCCCGAGUUCGUGGGUCGAGCUCAUUAGUUUCGGCCCAGUAUUGUUGAAUCUUUCUCUUUUUCUUUUAGCUGACAACUUAUAAAAUACACUAGAAAAUGUAGAAAAAUGAUAAAAUUGUGAAACCAAUUUUGUUAGGACCAUAAAAUUGUGUAGUUUCUUCUAGAAACAUUUUUAUAAUUUGCAGCAAUAAUUAGAUUUUUGAGUAUUUAAAUGUGCCUCUAGAAUGCAUAAAUGAAUUUUAGAAAUAACACUAGAACACCAAAAAUUAUGAAAAUUUGUGGAAAGGUUAUUUAUCACUAAUUUAGCCUCUGGUAAAAAUUUGAAACUGUUUGGACUUGAUUUUUUUUGACAAAGGGGAACACCCCCUAUUUCAUUAAGAAAUAGAAACCGGACCAAGGUUUUUACAAGACCACAGUCUUAACCAACAGCCAAAAGCUGACAAGACUACCACAUUUAUCAGCUACGCAAGGGUUAAGCCCAACUAAGGGAACACAGUAUUCCAGAAAUACUUGAAAGACUGACAACCAGCCAAAGAGACAAACUAGAGACAAGUCCAAAAGCAGCCUGGACCAGCCACCAAUAGCGACGACCAAAGCUAGGUUUUUAUCUAACGAGGAAGAUAAGCUGAUUACAUCAAAACAGUACAGAACUUGAAAAGAUGCAUCAACAGCCAAAAUGUCACUGGAGGCGCCUAUCGACCGGCUUCGAACCAUGGGCUUUGCUGUAGAUGUCACUUGUUAUCUUUCGGAUUCUGCGGCUUCCUUGUUCCACCAGUUUUUUUUCUCUUUGUCUGCCGAAUAGACCAAGCAUCAAUCCAGUAACAACAUGAAAAAAUCAUAUUAGAUGGAUCAUCAAUCAGCUUAGCAUUGAAGCAACAAUCAUUACGAGUACGCCAAAUUGCCCAAAGGACAGCACCACACCCAAAGAGAACCAGUUUUUUUUUCAGUUUUAUAAAAACUGUUAAUCCAGGGACCAAAAAGGUCGGCCGUAUCUUUGGGAGUAGAGGACAGAUUAAAGGCAAUUUGGAUAAUUCUCCAAAUAAACCUGGCCACCGGACAAUGAAAAAGCAAAUGGUCUAUGGACUCCAGAAGUCCACAAAAGAUACAAUCAAGGUUCCCUUGCCAGUGCGUUUUAAACAAAUUAUCUUUUGUCAGGAUCUUCUUAUUUCUGACCAACCACAGAAACACCUUAAUUUUAUGGGGAAGCCUGGGUUUCCACAAAAAAUUCAAGGGAACAUCAAUAAGAGAAUUCUUCAUCAUUUUGUAAAAGGAAUUCACUGAAAAACCUUUACAUCCCAACAACCACUUCGAAGAAUCCUCAUCUCCAGAAAGCAAGACAUCACUACAACGGGUAAUGAGGUCAUUAUAAGCCUCUCCUAUAUCACCAAUAAGUCUUCUUCUGAACGUAAGCGACUGAAAGUUGGAGGAGAUGACAUUAUGAACUGUGAUAUCCUUGUCAUAAACGAAUUCAAACAAGUUAGGGUACUUGUCAGUCAAUUUUUCAUUACCACACCAAAUGUUUUUCCAGAAACUGGAGCUCUUUCCAUUACCAAUAUUUUUUUACAAUAAUUAUAAUAUUUGUCUCGAACUGAGAGGAUACCUUUCCAGAAGUGAGAAUCAGAAGGUCUCUUCUUCACAGAAAUGAUAGGUCUAUUUUUAACAUACUUGUUAUGAACAAUGGUUUGCCACAAACCACUAGAAUUUUCUAGUCUCCAAAACCACUUCGCCAGCAAAGCUUCAUUCAUUUUUUGUAAAUCUAGAACACCAAGACCACCCAUAUUUUUGGGAGAACUGACUAAAUUCCACUCAGCCAAAUGGUAUUUUUUCUGAUUGUGGCCACCCUGCCAUAAUAACCUUUUUCUAAAAAUAUCCAUUUUUUUCAACACACCUUUGGGGCAUUUGUACAAAGAGAGCAUGUACAUGGGACAUUGGUGAGACUGCUGUUGAUCAAAACUAAUCGACCACCCAGACUAAGGAAACGACCUUGCCAUGAGCCCAAUUUGCUCUCAAUUUUUUCUACUAUGGGAUCCCACAAAGAUUUGAACAGCCUUUUGUUAUCAAUUGGGACCCCUAAGUAUUUCAUAGGGAGGCCACUUGGAGGGCAAGUAAAGAUGCCAGCAUACAAAUGCUCUCUAUUAAUAUAAUUUCCCAAGCAAAUAAUUUCACUUUUAUGAAAGUUAAUCUUAAGGCCAGACAUCUGUUCAAAAAUACAGAGAAUAAACUUCAGAUUUCUAGCAUUUUCAAGAUAAUCUUGCAGCAAAAAAUAGUGUCAUCAGCAUAUUGUAAACAGCAACAACCACCAGAAAUAAUAUGUGGGAUGAGACCUUUGAUAAUACCUUCAUCUUUAGCUUUUUGAAUCAAGCAAGCAAGACCAUCAGCUGCCACAUUAAAAAGGAGUGGGGAAAAAGGAUCACCUUGGCAAACACCCUUAUGUGUUUUAAAAUAGGGACCAACCACAUCAUUAGUUCUGAUAGCAACUUUACCACCUUUCACAGUCUUCAGCACCCAAUCACUCCAUUUAUCACCAAAGCCUUUCUUAAUCAUCAUAUUAUGAAGAUAUUUCCAAUUAACCUUGUCAUAAGCUUUUUCAAAAUCAACUUUAAAAAUCACUCCAUUCUGUUUCUUCCGUUUUACUUCAUGGAUAAUCUCAUGAAGUGAAAGGACACCAUCUAUGAUAUAUCUUCCUUUGAUAAAUCCAUACUGGAGGUCACUAAUCACAGAGGUGAUGCAGCGAGCCAACCUAUUAGUCAGAACUUUGGUAAUAAUUUUGUAACAUACGUUAAGCAAACAAAUAGGUCGAAAGGCUUUAAUAUCAGUCGCAUCAGGGACGUCUGGGAUAAGAGUGACUAUCCCAAAAUUAAGUCUCUCAAUAUUAAGUGAACCAUCAUGAAAGGAAUUAAAGAGAUUAAACAAAUCACUUUUAAUGACUUCCCAGAAUUCCUGAAAAAAUUCAGAAGGGAAACCAUCAGGACCCGGAGCACUGUUGUGUUUCAGAGCAAACACCACUUCUUUGAUCUCCUCCAAAGAGAAAGGACUAAUAAGAAGGUUUCUGUCUCCCUCCUCAAGCUGCUUCAUGUCCAAAUUAGCCAAAGAAAUACUUGAAUCUUGAGAAGGGCCAAAGAGAUCUUUAUAGAAAGAAGUCGCCAGUUGGUUAAUGCCAUGAUCAUCAUGUGCCAAAAUAUCACCAUGAUAAAGAGUUAAGAUCUUAAGUUUCCUCUUUUUAUGCUUGGCUAGAAAAUGGAAGUACUUAGAGUUCUCAUCACCGUCUAACAAGAACUUAUCUCUAGCUUUCUGUAUGAGGCUAAUGUUUUCCUCAUCAACAAUCUUCUUGAGGUUAGAUUCCAGGUCAAGUUUCACAAAUCUAUCAGCAUCUGACAAACCCGAAGUCUCACUGAUUUUAUCAAGGGUGUCAAUUUUUUCAAUCAGAUAUUUUUUCAGCUUCUUGUAGUGACCUACAAUAUUAUUAUUCCAACCUUUAAGCUUUUGUCUCAGACAUUUCAGUUUCAGCUUCCACACAUCAAGGCUAUGGGUCGCACCCACUGGGAGAGACCAAUUACUUUUCACUAAGUUGUGAAAGUCCAGUCUAAGCUUCCAGCACAGCUCGUAUCUAAAGUCCUUACGCGCAAUGGAGAUAGCAUCAGUUUGAAGACAAAGGGGAGCAUGAUCCGAGAAGGAUCUAUUCAAACCACGAACACUGAUAUUGUUAUAAGCAAGAUCCCAGUCAGGACUGGCCAAAAAUCUAUCUAACUUUUCAAACGUAGGAUCACUACGGUUGUUAGACCACAUAUACAAUCUAUUUUUCAAUUCAAAUUCCACUAGACCAUGAUGGUCUAUGAUACUAUUAAACAAGGAGCUCCACUUACUGAGGCUGCCCGGUUUAUUUUUUUCCUCAGCUUUUCUGAGGAUGUUAAAGUCACCACCAAUAAGCAGGGGGACCUGACUUCUCGAGCAGACCGCAGACAGUUCACUGAGAAAUCGGCUUUUAUGUUCCUUUUGAGCAGCCCCAUACACAUUGACAAAAUUCCAAAUAAGAUUUUUUUCUCUGUGGAGAACAAGAGUGCGAGUCAAAAAUUCUCCAGCUUCAAAUUCUCUGACAUCAAACACCUCAGAGUUAAAUCCCACUAAAAGGCCACCCGAUCUCCCAUUAGGAGGAGAGGAAAACCAUGCAAAAAGUUUGUUACCAGCAAGCGAGGACAAGAGAGAAUCAUUGAAAUGAUAUUUUUAGUUUCCUGUAAACCAAUAAAAUCAACCUUUUCCUCUCUAAUGAUUUCUCUCAAGAAAUCAAACUUAGUACUCUGACCCAACCCCUGACAAUUCCAGAUAAGGCCAAUCAUUUUUAAAUCGGAUCUGGGGGAGGUCAGAAAGGUCAGACACCCAAUUUUUAGUAGAUGUAUAUCUACUUUUUGGGGAAGCUUUUCUUUUGGUUGUUUUUUCCGAUGUUUUAUUUUCCUUCCUUUUCUUAAAAUCAUAACAUCAAGGAAAUCCUGAUCAUUGUUUAUAUCUGAAUCAUCAUGGACACUGCUAUCCACAUCUUUGUGAUCAUCAAUGAGGGGGACCUCCAAAUUUGAAGUAUUAUUUUUUUUACAAGCUUGAAUUGCCAGAAUUUUUUUUGGAAAGUUCCAGCUCUUUGAUCAACUCCAGAUUAUCUAUUGCAGCAGUUUCAGAAGGACCCAAAGAAACUCCUAAUUUAUUAGCUAUAUCUAGCAAGUCAACAUUAUUAGAAUCAAGCAGAGAAAAAGAGUUAGUAUACAUACCUUUGUUAAGGAAGGCAUCUUUGGCUUCAGCUCUGGAGAUAGCUUUAUCGGCCACCUUCACAUCAUCAUUCUUCUCCAGCCUUGAGCUUUUUCUGAUGCCAUCAGAGAUGUUGAUGGGCAUGUCCAGAGAUUUUUUACCUUUCACAUCCUGUAAAACCUCAUCAUUGGGGGGGAUCGAGAUCAUAGCACCAAUCUUGGACUGAAAGUCUGUUUGAUCCUCCUCCAUGUCUUUAGCAAAUUCUUCAAGAUCUUGAGAACUCAGCAGAUCAUCUUCAUUUGGGUCAAAAUCCACUUUCUCAUCACUGAGGUUAUCAAGUUUCUGAUCCUCAUCAGGAAUAUUUUUGGAAAUCUCAAGGUUGGGUUCAGAAAGUUUGGCAGACUCUUUGCCUUGAGAAGAAGACUCCCCUAAUUUGGGAUUAGGAGUAAGAUCAGUAUCCUGGGUUUCUUCUUCCACAUUUUUAGGUUUUUUCCCAGAUUUGUCAAAUAAUGGGUCAUUGGUCCCAUGAAUUUGAACAGAAGCUCUCUUGCCCAGGUUCACUGAAUCAUCAUUCCAACCCUCAUCAUAGAUUGAUUCAAUUCUAAAGAAGAUAUCAUACAGGAAGGGCUUGACUGCCACUUCCACCAUAGGUGGAAUCAUAGCCACACUUUUUAUGUGGAUUUUGAAUCUCACAAUAUCAUCAGAGUCCAAGGACAUGAGGUCAACUUCCUCAACAGCCCCAAUCAUUGAGCCAAUUUCGCAAAUCAACUGAUAAUUUUGUAGUUCCUCAGGGACAUUCUCAGCAAUAACCCACACAGUAUGAAGUCUAGAUUUGGGCUUGGCCCGAGAACUCCAAGGCACAACAACAAUCUUGGCACCAGACAUCUUCAUCUUAAGCUCAGGGAAACUUAUCAUUUCAUCAAGGCAUUCUUGAGAGGGGAAUUGCAUCAGAAAUCCAGAAUGACAUUUAGUAGCCUUCCACAUCUUACCCCAAGGGAAAUGGAAACCAAAAUCUCUUUCAAGAUCUUCUGUCGAAACCAACCCCUCAAUCACUUUAACCAGACCGAUGAAAACCCUUUUUGGUUUUUUGGUCAAUGGUUUAGCGAAAUGAGACAAGUAAAACCCUAAUCCAUCAGCAGCCAUACCAACUAUGGGCAUGGUGGGUUUGUUUUGCUUAGGUAGAACACAACGAGAUGUAACAUGAGUCUUCUUACGGCAUAUAUCACACCACAAUGCGUUAAAGCAAUUUCUAGCAUGAUGCCCUUCAACACCACAUUUCUGACAGAAAGUAGGACGAACAAGAUCGACAUCUUUCUUCAGAGGUAAAGGAGAAACGAUAGGGUUACCUGUUUGAGUUCCUUCGCCGGGGAAGUGAGAGCACCUAGAGGGGGGGGGGUGAAUAGGUGAUCCUGUAAAACUUAAAACUUAAGCCACAAAACUUGGUUAAGUGUUAGCACAAUAAUUACCAAGUGGCUAGAGAGAAGAUCUUGCACAAUACGAUAACCACAAAGAGUUCAACACAGAGAAGACACAGUGGUUUAUCCCGUGGUUCGGCCAAGUACAAAACUUGCCUACUCCACGUUGUGGCGUCCCAACGGACGAGAGUUGCACUCAACUCCUCUCAAGUGAUCCAAUGAUCAACUUGAAUACCACGAUGUUUUGCUUUUCUUUUCUUAUCCCGUUCGCGAGGAAUCUCCACAACUUGGAGCCUCUCGCCCUUACACUUUUGAUGUUCACAAAGAAUCACGGAGUAAGGGAGGGAUGAGCAACGCACAUAAGACUCAAAAAUCAGAGCAACAACACGCACACAAGUCGCAACAAGAGCUCGCAACACAACCCAAUGAGUUUACAACUCAACUAGAGCUCUAGAUGCUAUCACAAAGAAACAAAUGCGUGGAAUCGAAGUCUCGGUGCUUAGGAUUGCUUUGAGUAUGCUUGGUGUUCUCCUCCAUGCGCCUAGGGGUCCCUUUUAUAGCCCCAAGGCAGCUAGGAGCCGUUGAGAGCAAUCUGGGAAGGCAAAUCUUGCCUUCUGUCGUCUGCGCACCGGACAGUCCGGUGCACACCGGACACUGUCCGGUGCCCGAUUUCUUUCCUUAACUGGCGCAGUCGACCGUUGGCAGCCAGAGAGCCGUUGGCGCACCGGACAGUCCGGUGCACCCUUCUAGUCAUUGGCUCGGCCACGUGUCCCGCGCAGAUCGCGCGGCCGACCGUUGGCCCGGCCGACCGUUGGCUCACCGGACAGUCCGGUGCACACCGGACAGUCCGGUGAAUUAUAGCCGUACGUCGCCGGUGAAUUCCCGAGAGCGGCCAGUUCGCUCGAGCCAGCCUGGCGCACCGGACACUGUCCGGUGCACCACCGGACAGUCCGGUGCUCCCAGACUGAGCAGAGUCUUGGCUGCUCGAGCCAAGACAAUUCCAAUUCGAUUUUUCCUGUUUCCACCACUUAGACAUAAUACAUUAGUCUCUAAAACAAUGUACUAAGUCUGAGAAACAUACCUUUAUCCUUGAUUUGUACUUUGUCCACCAUUUUACACUUAGGCACUUGUGUUGGACACUAAAUUACCAAAAUACUUAGAGAUGGCCCAAAGGCACAUUUCCCUUUCAGGAAGGGGACAACAGACCCUCUUGUUGCUCAGCUUUUCCGAGUGUAGGCUUCAACUUCCAACUGAGGUUUCUUGCCCUGUUCCAAGAUUGAGGCCCCCGCGGAUUCUCUUUAGGACCCCAUCGAUCCCACUGGGGGUUCUGAGGAUUCUUGCCCUUCGGAUCCAUCGCAGAGUCUUUCGAAGGACUUCAAAAACCACCAGAACCCAGACGAGGCCACUCCUCUUCAACCACCAGCGGGCGAAAGGACGAAACACACCACCCUCCGCUAAAACUAGACCUCGCCGAGACCGGGAGCGACCAGAGAUGCGAGAGGAAGGCGGCGCAAUGGGGAAACAAGUGCGAUCCGAUGAAAUCCAAGGGAAACCCUAAUCUGGAUGUAGGGUUUUCAGGCGGAGUAGUCGGUGGGGGAGACGACUCGCGCGUGGAGAAGUGAGACCGAGCAGGGAGCGGCGACACCCCCGUGCUCCACCCAACCCAAGUCAAUCGCGGAUCCGAGGGCCGUUCCGCAGCGCGAGACGGGGCACUGUAGCCCUAGGCCAGGAGACACCGCGGGGAAACCGGCCCAACAUCAAUUACCCGCGCGACAACACACCAAUCGCCAUAGGAGGGAGGGGGAAUGGCACGGGAGUAAGAAGGGUCGGCCCAGGGGACCGAACGCCAUUUUUUUUUGCCUUGCGCCGCAUCCGACUAGCCGGCCACCGUGGUCGUUUGGACUUGAUUUGAUCAGAGAACCUUGAAAUAACUAAAUUAAGAAGUUUAAAUUAAUAACACUUGGUGUUAAUAUAUGUUUAUCUCAAAAUUGGAACUCUAUAAAUUGAAGAACAACAAGUUUGGUAAAUUUUAGUAUGUUUGCUUCUCUGAUUGGUCCAAGUAAGUUUAGUUUGGGGCUCUUGUAGCAAGGUUUGGUAAUAUGGAAGUAUGUGUAUACUUAGCAGAUGCUUGUUUUAAAGUAUUUAUACUUCCUACCUCUCCUUUAUGAAAGUUUGCAUCUCAUACCAUUACAUAAGCAUGCAUGUACUUGUAAUUGAUUUGUAGAGCACCUAGAAGAUGAAGUUGAAGUGGAAGUAGAAGGAGAACAAAUUCCCCAACCAGAAGCUUCUACAUCUGAAGUUCCUCCUGAAGGUCCUUCUGAAGAACCUCCUCCUGAGAACAGGGCUUAUUUUGAUAUCUGUGGUGAGGUGGUAGUGUCUCCUCCACAUCAAGGCAAGCCUCGGUGCAUUUAACCAAUUUCCUUGCAUUUUCAAAGCUUUUAUCACUUAUAUGAUGCAUUAGGUGAUAGGAGUUGAAUGAUUAAACACUUGUUGCAUAAAUCAUUCCUUGGAAUAUUCCACCGCCACCACAAUGGAGCCAGUUUGCAUCCACACUAGCUCUGCCACCACAGUUCAACACCCCUCCGACACAUAUACCGACACCUAGAGAUAGGGUACGUUUGAUAACUCUCGAUGAAUUUAUACACUUGUAUACUUUUUGAUAUUUGCAUUUAACGUGUUGAUAUUUGCUAACUUGCAUAGGUUAUGCUCGAAGCGUGUGGUAGUGGGUCUGAUCCCACAGCAGGGACUGGAUUUGUUGACUCCCUCUUCGCGUUCCCUUCUCCUGGUGGUGGUGGCGGCAGCGGUCAAAGCUCUAACCACCCAAGUGGUGGUUAUCUCUAAACACUUGAACUCGUGCACGCUAUGUUUCUUAACUCGUUGACUCUAUGUUUUUUGCGAACUAAACACUUGAACUUAUGUCGUACUUUCUAUUUGAAAUGUUUGUGUAAACUAUGUUGGUGAAUGUUAUGUUUGUAAUUCGUGAAUUGAUUAUGAAUGCAUGUGUUUGUAAUGUGUCUGUUCUGUGUGAUAUAUAUGUUAUGUGUGCAAUUGUGCAGAAAUAGUGACCUAAUUUAGUGCUGGUUUUGUAGCAGUAUAG